ensembl:lncRNA
CAAAGACUGGUAUAUACACAGUGCAGACUAAAGAAAUAUAACCCACUUGUUUAUAGAAGAUUGCUUUCAGUCCAAAGGGCUAAAGUAUGUGUGGAACAACAAUUUACAAGCAAAUCUACGGUAAUGUUUACUGGAAGCAAUUCUAAUCUCCUGCUCAAUUAGAAGCAUAAAGCCAGUUGAUAAUGACGGCAAGAGGUGGAAACAACUUCCUAAUGAAUUCAAACCCCUCAGAGUGACAGUCCCCUUGCAUGAAUGAAUGUAAUUACAGCCUGUACAUUGGUGGUCUGACACACAGGCACUUUCCAGGAUUAUUCCCAGGCUCUGAGAGAACACACUGUGAAGAACACCGCGUGAUGCAUGUAUGCAAAUACACCUCGCAGCACUUCCAAAUAUAGUCUCCAUCCCGACAAAAUAUUUGUGAUUAGGGUGGGAAGGUGCUGAAAGCAGAAAAUAGAAGUUGACGAGCGUGUUCGUGGUGUGGAUUUGUGACCACACCUGAACAGAUAAGCAGCAGUUUUUAGUAUUUAAUCUUUAUUUUUUACAUUAAGAAGUCACUAUAACACUUUAUUUUAUAUCCCUUGAACAUCCACACAUCCAAAUCUGACCUACUUCAUGUGACAGCGCCGCACAUUAACCGAGCCACAGGAACAGCAUUAUGUGGAGACGUGUGACUAACGUGCAUGCACCAAUUGUAUGUUCACUCUCUUCCCCCUUGUAUUUAUACCUUUUUCAUCCUUUCCUUCCAUCCAUCCUUCCCUGUAGUUAUUCUGUUUCACAAUUUGUCAUGCUGCAACGAUAGGCUGAGGCAACGGGCACUAUGCUGGUGCCUGUGAGCCGAGCCUCUUAGGGGUUGAGAUAAAGUUAAGCUGACGUGUGGGUUCAGCUGCGUCACAGCGUCCUUUGAAACAGUCUCAGGGAGAAAAAAAAAAAAAAAAAAAAAGGAAAAAAGGAAGGCAAGGCAUGUUCCUCCAGAGGUGGCACCUCCUUACACUCCUCCUGGCAUGCAGCUGCUAGCUUUUGCCUUGGGCUGCUUCAUCUAACCUCACAUAGAAGAGAAGAAAUAGCAUAUCUCCCCCUCCUGAGUGAGACUUACAAUGGACACCCGCAAACACCAUCCAACCCUGCACUUAAAACGUGCUGAUUUGACAAGCCUGACAUUUCUGGGAGAUGUCCACAUUGCUGCUAUUAAAUCUCCAACAGCGAGUGGACCCAAAGCCACCAAGUUAAUUCCUAUUUAUAUAAGAAAUACAACAGAUUCACAGGUGUGCCAGAGGAAAGCUUCCUUAGGAACGCCAUUCCAGCUCUCAUUCUGGGGAGAAAAAAAAAAAAAGACAAAUCCAUCUCCUUCUCGUCUUUCUUCCCCCCACGCACAGUCUUUUCUUUCCCUUCAUGCCCAUCCCCCUCUUCAGCGGAGGAUUGGAGUGCCCUGGUAAAUAAUUGAGGCAUAUUCCCUGUCUGCUACUGUAGCUUCCCCCUAAUGCUUAUUUAUUUACAUUUUUUCUUUUGGCAUACUUCCAAAGAAUAUUUGGUUGUCCUGAUCUAGCAAUAAAAAGUGAUGAAAAUAAAUUGUGCUUUGUUUUCUGAUCAAUAGCUUCUGGAGCCCACGUAUGAUCACACACGGAUUGCUGGAUAUAGGAUCAGUUUAAAGAAAUGUAAAUAAUGGACUACAUAACCAUUCAAGUUCCCAUCAGUAAAUUUCUAUUGUUUAAUAUCUGAAACCUCAAACUAUUUCUUUUCCAGCUAAAUAGGUUCCUGAAACUGAC